rnacentral:lncRNA from 1 species
AGUUUGAUCCGGUACCCCAGCCAUAGUACCACCUGGCACCAUCACAGUACAAUCUGGUACCCCCACCGUAUCAGUAAGUACCACGCAGGGUCACCCAGUCUAUCCUCAGUAUGGCCCAGUCCCUCUUCUACGGGAACCAGCUCCUCCCAUGAUGGACAUAAGCUACAUAGAGAUAUAUAAAAGAUUAAAUUCAUUUACUUUUGUAG